UAGCCAUUAUAGCCAGACACAGAUAGGCCUCGAUAGACCGUACAGAAAUAGCCAGGAUAGGCCAGACACAGAUAGCCACAAUAGGCAGACAUGGGACAGGCCUUGAUAGACCAUACAGAAAAUAGCCAUGAUAGCCGGACACGGACAGGUCUCGAUAGACCGUACAGAAAUAGCCACGAUAGGCCAGACACAGAUAGCCACAAUAUGCAGACAUGGGACAGGCCUUGAUAGACCGUACAGAAAAAUAGCCAUGAUAGCCGGACACGGACAGGUCUCGAUAGACCGUACAGAAAUAGUCACGAUAGGCAGACACAGACAGGCCUUGAAAGACCAUACAGAUAUAGUAACACCACCACCAGUAAUUGCAUGAAUUUACCUGAUUAGUUACAGGAGAGCUUGCUGAGCUUCAAUAAUGGUUUUGAAUCAGGUCUGAUGUAUGAUUCAAAUGCUUAGGAAGACCAUCUGCCCAUGAUCUUAACAGCUGAUGUAGAGAUCCCUCAUUCAGCUGCUGAAGUAGCUGCCCCAAUUCUGAAUGAAUGGCCAGUAGAUAGACUGCAGCUUUGAGAACAGUGGUUAAGUGAGUUCUAAACAGCCUUGGAAAGGGGGCUCCGUUAGGAAAAAUAGAGCUGGUGCGUUUUAGAAAUUCUAGGUCGGAUUUUUAAGAAAUUU